rnacentral:rRNA from 2 species
CCUACGGGAGGCAGCAGUGGGGAAUUUUGGACAAUGGGCGCAAGCCUGAUCCAGCAAUGCCGCGUGCAGGAAGAAGGCCUUCGGGUUGUAAACUGCUUUUGUACGGAACGAAACGGUCUGGGUUAAUACCCUGGGCUAAUGACGGUACCGUAAGAAUAAGCACCGGCUAACUACGUGCCAGCAGCCGCGGUAAU